rnacentral:tRNA from 1 species
UCCGUCGUCAGGUAAAGAUUAACCCGCUGGGCUCAUAACCCAGAGAUCGGUCGUUCAAAUCGACCCCCCGCUACCA